GACGAACGCUGGCGGCGUGCUUAACACAUGCAAGUCGAACGGAAAGGCCCUGCUUUUGUGGGGUGCUCGAGUGGCGAACGGGUGAGUAACACGUGAGUAACCUGCCCUUGACUUUGGGAUAACUUCAGGAAACUGGGGCUAAUACCGGAUAGGAGCUCCUGCUGCAUGGUGGGGGUUGGAAAGUUUCGGCGGUUGGGGAUGGACUCGCGGCUUAUCAGCUUGUUGGUGGGGUAGUGGCUUACCAAGGCUUUGACGGGUAGCCGGCCUGAGAGGGUGACCGGCCCCAUUGGGACUGAGAUCCGGCCCAGCCUCCUACGGGAGGCAGCAGUGGGGAAUAUUGCACAAUGGGCGGAAGCCUGAUGCAGCGCCGCCGCGUGCGGGAUGACGGCCUUCGGGUUGUAAACCGCUUUCGCCUGUGACGAAGCGUGAGUGACGGUAAUGGGUAAAGAAGCACCGGCUAACUACGUG
rnacentral:rRNA from 1 species